GAAGGCGCCCAUGCUGAUGUUGUCAUGUAUUCUAAACGGGGAGGAGAUUCCUCUACAGAGAGCAACCCCAGAAGGGAAAAUGAUCGAUGCCACUGUUUGCAGCGAGGGGCUGGAAAGCACCCAAAACGCAGGCGGCUGUACCCACAUUCCACUACAGCACAAGCCGCGCACUGUCCAAACGCUCGAGCCAGAACUGUCACUUGGACAAACUGCGUGCUGCCCUUUUUUUAACGAGAAGGAGGCAGCUAUGAGCAAUAUAAAGUCACUGGGGAGCAGUUCACCUCCGGCGUGGGUGUCACUCUGUUGCGCUCCGUCAUUAAAUAAUGAUUUAUAUGCGGUAUAUCAUUUCUGAGCCUACUGACGGGAACAGAAACGUUAAGUUGCCCCCUUUUGGUCCAGACUGAAGUGUAUUUAUAAAGAUAUCCUUGGUGCCCGGAAGAUAUUGAUUGUUUAGCAGGUAAAAAGUUUUCACUCACUAUCUGGUGAAAUACAAUGUGUCAGCAUUUCCUGGAUGGAUUGAUACGCCAUUUUAUAGUGAUAUUGAUAGUGCAAACUUGUAUCCCAAUUACUCGGUGUGAGGAUAUGCCAGCUUUUCCCUCCAGCGCCACCAUGAGGUUGGUAUUUGGGGAAAUGUCCCAAAUGUAAUAACGCAACGUGAUAAAACUGUACUUUGUUUCAAAUGUUUGCACGAUCAUGCGCACCUUUUUUUCUCCCUUCCACCGUCAUCCCAGAUGUUGACUGCUGUCACACGUGCUUCAUAAAUCCCUUUUCUCUCAUGUCAGACAUCGCUCCAUCUCCUUUCCUCCAUCUCCCCUGGCCUCCCCUCCACACGCUCAGCAAUCAAACAUCACUUAAACGGCCCCGCGUCCUUAUGACGGGACUUGCUGAGGCGGCAUGUUUUCUCUGGGAAAUGACUCGUAAAUUAGGGAGCUCCCAGAGAGCCAGACGAGCACACACAAGGUUCCCUGAUUAGUGUGGCUGGGAGGAAGGCCAGACGGGUCAAGGCUGCAGGACCUGUUGAGGACCAUCAUAGAGUUGAAAGAGGAAAGGAAAGCAUAUUGAUCACGUGACGGCGGCUCGGUCAUUCUUAACAGCAUGCAGUUAUAGCGCCCCUCAGAUAAACAUUAGCAAAUAAAAAAAGUGUGUUCAAACUUUUGACUUGCACUGUAUGCUGACAAUGACAUUUAACAGUCCGACUACUGUGAACGCUCGAACCCAGGAGAACGUGCUUAAUGGGAAGAAUCUGAGUCCAGGAGACAACCUUUGCUGACGUUGUGAAAACAACCGCUGACUCAGGUUCAGCACUUAUUUCAAUGAUUAAAAGAAGGCGGCCGAUUGAGCAAAACCAGGAUGAUAUGCUUGGGCGAUUAUCUAAGAGUUCAACCUCAACGUAUUUUGUUGAGUCAUGAUAGCCUUAAAUUCUGAAGACGGACAUUUUUCGUCAAAGGAUGGCUUCAUUUCAAGGAAUUUAUUCUGCUUUAGCAAAUUAUGAUUUUACUCGCCAAUUAUCCAGUUGAUAAUGCCCUUUGCAUCGGCAUUCACCGUUCAGUUAUGUCGUGGAAAAUGAAAAGAUGGAAGAUGUAAAGCGUGUCAUCCUGUACUGAGGUGCAUGAGAGGCUAAAAAAGAAAAAUACUUCUCUAGCUUCAGACAACAAACAAUGUAAAAGACGCAGGACUGGUACGUCCACGACGUCCUGGCCCGAGAAAUAAAAGGCCAAUAAAGGUUAUUCAAUUACGUCUUUAGACAGAGAGGCGUAAAAAGAGGAAAUGACGGCCUGCAAAAAGGGGACCUCAAUGACUCCCGCAAUCUCCUGAUCUUAUCAGCAGGUGUCAGCCACUCAGGGCAGAAGUCACACAGACUUAAAACGCUAGCGCAAGGUAAUGAUUAACCGUUUAAACACACAAUGAGGAUGUUUUGACUGGGAAGCGGAGAGGUAUGACAUCAUGUCAUCAGUCCCUCCAGAAAAUACACCCUAUGAGAAAAAGGGAAAAAAGAGACGCGCACAAUGAAUACUCUGCAGCUGAACUCAAAGUGGUGGAGACUUUCUGGUGUCUACAUGCACACAACAUCAUGGAUGUUGACGUUUUUUGGCAUCGGGGUUAUUGUUAAUGUGCUUGUGUUCAGCAGCCCUGCGAGCAAGGCACUUAGCUCCCUCUCGUAUUGCUCCGCCGCUCUUAAAAAUGAGCACAGCUUUAUUGGGCAUUAUAUAAAAAUGAUGUCAAUUUACUAAAAAUGAAAUUACGGCAAAUGUUCUGUGGUCUUUUUUUGUCUAACUGCACAAACAGCGGUGCUAAAAUGAUUUCUGCAUGGCGGCUAUUGAAGAACAAUGCGCACUCAAACUAGCAGCAUGAAGGGAUUUGAGGGUUUCAUGGGGCUAAAGACAAACCUUUGCAAGGAUCUCAAACCAAUUAUAGGGUUAUAUGUACACAAGUUAGUCUUGUUAAGUCACGGUGUAUAAUGUGCCAAAACCUGACAGGAAUAACUCCUGAAUGCUCAAUUGAUCUCGUUUUCACUACAAGAGACAAGGGGAUUUCAGUUCCGAGAGGCAUUGGGGUAUAAACUUUAUGGGCACUCCGUGAAGGGCAUAACAGUUUAUUUUAAGACGUUCAUCCGGUGCUGACUUCUCACCUGCGGACUCAGACGGACAUAAAUCCAAGUACGUAGCAAACGAUCAAAAAACAAUAAACAACACAUUUAGCACAUGGAACUUUUGGUGCCACACAUCAGUGGUUCAAUCGGCGCAACGGGAUGCCGUCCGUCGUUAUGUCCAAACCUUACAGAGAAUUAAAGCACUUUAAACAUUCCUGGUCAACAAAGUAUUCAGAACUUCAAGUCAAGCAUGUUUCUCGCACUAUUAAAUUAAGUCUAUUUUUCCAAAAAUGUCCUUUAGUGCGGACACCAGUAAAAAAAAAAGAUGCAUAAAAGUCUGAGCCUUAAAACAGAGCUAUUUUCAGAAUGGCGAGGUGACGUCCAGCUUUGGUGACAAAACCCCAACAGCGGAAGGCGUGGUUGGCCCUGUGAGCGGGAUGCGGCGUCCCCAACGGGACAAAGCACAGGGGCAGUGGACAGUAAAGCCCAGAGGAAUGUCCCGCCAUGACCGUCUUCUCACACACGGUCGGUGAACCGCGGAGCAGCUGUCCCUCACUGACUGUCCCCCGGCCCGGUCGGAUCUGCUCUGAAAGACAAAACCCCGGGACGACUGACCGUCAAAUUAGCAUUUUAUGUCUGUUGAUUGUGAGGAAGGAACGACAGAGGACAAGGAGAGGGUUGUAGAAGAAGGGUGGGCGGGAGGAGGCGAAGGCCUUGAUUUGUGACGCAAUAAUGGCAGCGAAUGUCCGUCACACUGUCAUAAAAGCGUAGCUGAGGGUAAUCAGUGUGUGCGGAUACCAAACGAGACGUUAAUCACAAAAAGAAGUUGUUGUUGAUCCGCCAAGGGCCACGUAAAUAUCGGUUGGGCAAACUGAAAAAAUGUGUAAAACUGGCGAAAAAAAACUACAGCUGGAACGACUCAAGCUGAUUUGUUCACUGCCAUGGAAACAAUUCCUAACACAUUAUAAAUGCCAAGUUGGGCCCGGCACCUGCCGAGUGAAGUCACCAGUAUUGAAAAGACUAUCAAAAGUCUAUCAAAAGACUCCCUCGUGGUACAGCGGUAAACUACACAUUAAAAAAUGUGCUGAAAAAAAGUUUUAAAAAUUAAAAAAGGGCACACCCAAAAUGCAACAAUCUUUUAAAUGACAAACAAUUUCAAAUUAAAUUACCAACUAGCGCCACAGCAAAUUAAUAUAAUGGAAAUAACAGGAAAGGACAGGAAAUAACAUCCUCCGACUGCCAGGACAUCAGGUCAGAUGUUAUCGUUUAACGUCUUAAUGUUAAAUUGUUUACGGGAGCAUUGUCACCCUGGUAAAACCAGAGCAGUCUUUGCGGAAAUACUCUUCAUGGCAAUAACAAAGGACAAUAGCUCGUAAACUUGAUUGAUAGACAGACUAUAAUAAAAAUCUCAGGAUUAAUGACACUGCAUAAUUGUGUAACAGAAAGCUAAAUAACAAAUAUGUAGACAAUGGGCGUUUAUGUUUAUAUUAACUUAAAAAAAUGUAAAAUAGGGGGUUUAAAUUAAGCAUAAUCUGAUCCCCGGUACAAAGUCGUAAAACAACUACAAACGUAUGCUGUGAUGUCAAUUACUUUUGCACUUUGCUGUAUAUUGCUCAACCUCUUGCCUUUAUUUUUUUAAUGAAGAAAGUGUGUGAAACCUACGACCAAAAAUUCUCACGGUGUUACUUCUGGAUUGGAAUUAUAGUGAAAAGAAAUCCCAUUUUAUAUUAGUCCAAUAUUGUCAAACUGGAUUAUUGUUAAAUGUAAAUAAGUAGCUCACUUCAGGGCACUAUGUGUUGUGGUUACGUUACUGCUGAAGCAGUAGAUUUAAAAAACACUCAUUCACUGCACAGCUUUGUAAGAAAAUAUUUCUUCAGGUGUCUCAAAGUUGUCAUUUAUACUUCAUUUAAUAGCGUUCCAUCCUCCUGUGCUAAUAAAACCAGAAAUCUAUUACAUUCUAAAUAUUUUCUAUAGAACUCACAAGACAGUCACUCAUUUUAUUUGAAGGCAGGUUUUGCAGUAAACAGAAAAUGGCUGUUAAAAGAUACAAUAUAUCAAUACACACUACACACGUUAAACUUUUUACAUCACUUAUCAAACCAAAACCAACAAAGAAACCCGUUAAUCUGGGACCCGACUUCCCUUUCCAUUGCUACCACCUGUGCAUACAGCUUUAAAAUGUUGCACCCAAUGAGACCCCCCAAACACACACUCCCAGCGGAUUUGAAGAGGCGGUGUUUGUUCAAAUCCAGGAGGACAAGUCCCUGUUGAUCCCACCACACCCAGCGGUUUCCUCUGCGAAGGACCUGGAAGGUAAAUAACAGCAGGACAGAGAUCAUUCCAACGCUGCCUGACCACAAGUGUAAACCCCGCAGCUGGUACGGCCUCCCAUCCUCUUCCCCCGCACAAUGUGACUUCCUCCAUUCCACAGGCUCUGUAAACAAAACACACCAAACGCUAACAUUGCAUAACCCGAUCGGCGACCCCCCCCCCCCCCCCGGGCCGAGCGUCACCCCUACACACAAACACGCUGGUCUGCAGUGAGAGAGAAUUAUUUUUGCGACUGCUCCCAAAAGCCCCGGGUUCAGGCAUCCACAGAUUUGUGAUUCAAUAUAUCUGUCACUGAAUUGUUUUUUUCCCCCCCCUCUUCGCCCACAUUCCCGUUUUCUCCUUCACUUUCUUGGCCAACAGGUCCUUCCAUCUGUUGGCCAGCUGGUGGAAAAGGAGGAGGAGGAGGAGGGGAGGGAGUGGGAGUGGGGGGAGAGGAGGGAGGGGGCUUCUCCACCCGGCGGUUCGCUACUCUCAACAGUCUGACGUUCUCCCACCGAGCGUAAUGACUCUUCUGCGGGUCUCAUUAGGGCCCCGACCCGGGGGCUGGGUUCACCUCCCUGCAUGAUGUCACAUCCAGGCCGCGGACAUCCCACUGUUGAGUUGCGAGUAACAACCCACUGACAUGAUGUCGAUCCGGAUUGCAACAUCUCGGCGUCGGAUCGGAUUGACGCCCAAGAAAGCAACAGCGUCCAGUUGAACGGACGCCGUUGAGCUCAACGCUUGUGUGUCCAAUUGUGUCAGUCAUCAGCCUUUUCCUCCCCUUCACUCUGCCUCCCCUGUGACGGACAGGUCCGGGGCAGAACUGGGGCCCAACAACAUGUAACCCGACCCUGACCCAGCGCUCGCUCCUAGCUCUUUAAUGGUCUUGGCGUCACUCCCAUUUGCGAUGUUGGUUUAACCUGAUGCUAAUGUGCCCAUUGUGCACAAAGUUCUGUUCCACUAGGUCUGAUCUGCACGUAGCCUCCGACACCUCGGCUGUCAACCGUGGCUUUCAAGCAGCACUAUCCUGAAAAGGGGAAGAGUUUGUUUUGUCUGUGGUUCUUGUAACAGUGGGCAAGUCUCAUACUGAAUGGAGGCAACAUGGCCGUUACCCCGGCAACCUUUGUGAAACCUCCGGUUUCUCUGUACAAUAGUAGGUGCGAGUAGACCGUGUUUCUUGCUCCGUUAAUUAAGGGCUUCAAGUAAACCGAAAUUGGCUAUAGCUGAUUACACCCAUCAUUACAUUUCAAUCAAUAUCCAUCUCAAGAAAUCAGUUUUCUCUGCUAUUCACUGAUGGUCAGUCGUUCCAUACUCACUGCCAAAGGUAAAAUCACUUGCCAUAUUUCAGCAGCUGCAUUAAGAUGCCCCUUUAUUAAAUGUAAUGUGUAUAAAACUGCAUAGACAAAGAAACACAUGAAUAUGAAGAAAACAAGAGCUGGUGACAAACCUUCCAAGACAAACUCUCCCACUGAAAACCUGUUUCGAAUCACUCAGCCGCUCCGUAUCGUUGUCGCCACGGAAACGUUCUUGACCUUUCGCCGCUGGUCGCGCUUCACCUGUCGACAACUCACGGCGUCCCCCACGGAACUCUCCCCACCACCAAACCAUCCACCACACGCUCUGCCCCUAUUCGACAACCCCCCGCACGCCCACGGGAUUUAUUGUUUUAACUCAUUAAAGCCGUCUUCGCAGCGAGUGAUUUAACCUGCAAUUGGUGCCUUUUGGUAAACCAAAGUCAAAGUGCAAACCAAAAAGGGGAAAUCCCAUCCGUACCGGACGCUGUGUCAGCCGGCUCGGCGGAACGGUGGACCGGAGAGCCGCCUCUUCGUCAACGUGUGUCCUUUGAAAGUCAAUCUUGAAAAAUGACUUGCAACAGAUCCACACUUUCUCUCCUGAAUGAGACCCGCCUUGUCAAGAUAAAGGGGACUUUGUGACCCCGGGAGCAAUGCCGUCUGGGUCAUUUGGCUUCUGGCGGGGUCUAAAAUAGCAAAUUGGUCCCAGGCAUGAGGUCAGAGGACACCUCAAUGAUUAGCACCCUCUGUAUGGAGUAUGCUACUUUGCUGCAUUAGGACACCUCAUUUUUGAAAACUUUUACCUGUUUUGAUGUUGAUGACAUUUGUAGUUGACGUGAAGCCCCCAACACAAUCGACAAAACUGAUUUUUACUUUUCAAUACAAAAGAUAGUGUUGAUAUAUUAUUAUUUGGUGGGAAAGAUCAAUACACAAGUCAUGGGAAAUCGGUUUCAUCUCUCCCAUUGCAGUGUUGCUAUUCAUUUCAGAUAUAGUGCAGUCCACUUCCGCAUUAAGCCAGGAACUGUUUCUUGGACGCAGCUCUUGGAGAUGCACUUUCUUUCCCUUUCAAAAUGUGCUGCUGUUUGUGAAACCCUCCCCCACCCCCACGGCCCACCAGAGAAAAGCAGAAGUAUACUCGGCAUGGAGAGAAACAAACCCAGAUGAUUUCUUUAGUCCGGGCUUUGAAGUUUUAUGGUGCCGCGGCUCGACAGAGCCUCAGAGAGAGCGAGGCCCGGACGGGCCUGAGUUGCAUCAAGCAUCGGCCCACCGUUUUGCAUUAAUGUACCAAGUGGUACGGACACACAUGCUCAAUGUCAAAGGUAGAUUAGAAUUGGUGACAGCGUGGGUCAUUCACGUUAAUAUUGACCUCAUCUCAACGUCCCCUCGCCAGCCGGCUACCCCCCCUCCCUCCUGACAUCACCACACACAACUUUUGCUGCGCGUCUCCCACAUCCCAUUCAGAUCCUUGUUGGGCGACGGCCCCAAAGGCUCUCCUCAUUCAACGGGAUGCCUGCCCAUUAUAGCAGAGGUUUCCAUGUCUCUCCAAACACACAGAAGCUAACUCAGAAGAAAAGUCCACCAGAGAGAAAUCCCAUCUGUGUCCUCAUCCAUUCUGCUGGUCUGGACAUGAGCAAACAGCUCGCUCGAACCCCCCCCGCCCUCCGCCCUGGCAACCCGUUACCCUCCACACUGAAACCAUUGGAAUCCACACACAGUGAAUCAAGAUUCUCGACGGCAGACCCAACAGCCUCUCAUGAAUUGAGAGAGCGAAAACGCUUUAGUCGCACACAGAACAAGCUUCCUGGCUCUUUGUGAUGAUGGUGGGGGCAAAAGCCGUUUGAGAGGGGAAACAGGGUGGAGGAAACCCAGCCCUGUGAGCAGCGGAGAGAGCUAUGGACUGGAAGACAUUGUGUCUAACUAUGUCACAAUGGGGAUUUACGUGAUGUUUGCAUAUGGUAAUCAUUGUCUAGGGAUGAAGUCUUUCGUUUGGUGUAUUCAAAAAGGGUAUUUAAGAACAUUUGUACUGGGAAAUGUGGCGUAAAACCAAUGUCUUCUCAUCCCCAGUUCUCCUCUUACUUUAAAUGUCUUGUUAAGAAGCAGAAGUAAAAACCUAAUUAUAAUUAUUUUUUUGUUUAAACAGGCGGCAGAAAAUUAAAAGUUGCUUAUUUUGUCAGUGGCCAUUACGCUUCACAAAGACGGCCUCCUCCUCGGUUCAAAGCACCAUCCCUCUUUCAAUUACAUGUCACACAAGCACUGAGAACUGCGAUGGGAAAGUUCGCUCCUCAAUCGGGAAGUUUGCUUGGACAGAUUGGACAAAUAUUUCUUUUGUGCGGCCGUCUCCUUGCCUCUGUUCGUCCCCGACAGCCAGAGAGGGGCGGGUGUGAACAACCCAAAGUGCACUACAUGACGGGCUGGCUCGGCUGAUUUGUCCGAGACACAUGGCCUUCCCUCCAGCUGCCCGUCUGUUUACACGUUAACUCUCGCCUUAAGCAUUGAUUUUUUGUUUUUUUUUGGGGGGGGAGGGUAUAAGGUUUAUGUUAAGAGAGGUUUCCACCUCUCAAGAGAAUACUAUUUCGAGGUACACUGAGGAAAGGCAAAGUCCAUUUUAACACCACAAAAAAAAGCCACGAUGAGCAUUUUUAAAAUUUUUACUUAAAGGACAAAUAAAUUCAAAGCGCCGAUAUCAGUCUGAACUAUUAUUGUUCUUGACGUCGUACCCGGGUUUCAACAGCGAGUCAGUUCAGAAUUCCCAUCCCUAAAACAGACAACUAUCUGCUUUUUAUUCCAAGAAAAACUCCAGACACGGUGAAACAAACUCACAGUUCUCUGGCACCAUAUGGUGCCAUCUACAGAGUGGAAGGAUGUGUAAUAGCACACCAACUGCGCGGACAAACAGCAGCCCCGCACCACAUGUUGCUGUAAAUCAAACCCCCGACUGCUCUUCUGUUUCAGCGUCUGACAUCCAGCACUAAAGGGCAGGUGAUACCAUCAUGAUCACUUCAUAGUCCUGCUACGCAAACCUGCUCGGCCAAGCGGAGGGACGCUAAAUCAGAACCAGGAGGGAGAAGGUAGUGGUAGAGGUACAAGUUUUCAUUUUCAACUUGGGGUAACAAUUUGUACCUAGUUUAAAUGAUUAUAUCAAGGGACAAACUGUAAAGUGGCUCUGCCUGAUAAUUAUCCCAAGAACAAAUGAAAACAUCCCUCGCCUAUGCUGCAGGAAAAUGCCCCUUUGAUAUCCUGUUAAAACUUAUGGCCUUUAAAUUUCAACCCCCCCGAAACAAAAUUACCAGUGUAUAUGUUUAAGCCUGUUCACAUUCAGUUACCAGGCCAUUUCCGUCUUUCAGCAGACGCUAGACACGUGAUUUAUCACAACGGCAGAUCAAUGACCGGCGCCGGGCCGCGGCUCGACGCAAAGGGUCUUACCAACCAGGCACGUCCUCAGAAACACUCCAGGGGGAAACACAGCCGGCCCUCAGGAGCAACAUCACCUGUGCCCUCUUGUGGAGGGCUGGCACGGUUCAUCCUCGUCUCCCCGUUGGACUCGAGGCACAAGCACCACGGCCGCUGGCAAGGCAUGUUCAUUCUAACCUCCUUUUUUUCCCCUCGAGUUACUCUUCUUUUCAUCCCUUUUCCCUUCAGCGUCGUAAUGUAUCACAGAAAUGAGUAUCAGCCCCAAAAGCCCCAUCGUUUGGCCUGAACUUCAAAGACUCGCACUUCGGCGUGCGACGUUCCACCGCCCACUGACGUCAUGGAGGAACACUUAAGUUGCUUGGUUAUCAAGGAUUUAUCCUCAAUCAUCCACGAGGCCCCUUUUUGACAUGAUCCAAGCGUGACGAAUGUAUCAACAGCAAUGUAAAUGGAGACUUAACAGGCUGAUUCUGACCCAACGAGAUAAUGCAAGAAACAAAAGAGGCUGAAUAACUGCCUCUUUUGGGGGAUUUAAUGUAAACUUAAAAAGGUCUCAAAUGAACCGAUUCUCAUCAGCGAGCGGUGGUGGAGAGAGAGAUUUUCAAAGGCCGCGAGUGAUGAAGUGAACAGCCCUCUUAAUAACUCUUACAGUCUAGCACUGCAAGUGAGAUGUCCUGCAAGACCGGUGGAUCCAUCAUCCAUCUCUAAAAGCUCACAGCCCAUAAACAUUCCAUAAAGUGCUGAUGGUGUUUUUACACAUUCAACCCAAAGUUGCUUUGGAUACCAAAAAAAAAAAACCAAAACGUUUGCCUGCCCAUGAAUCACUUUUAUUUUCGUGUUCGCUCUUGCACACCAAUGAGAUCAUGUACUGUAAAGUUGGCCUGCAUGCUUUGUAUAGUCUUAGUGGAUAGUGGAUGUCAGUGCGGGCCUCCCCUGAUAGCAGAUAAAACAUAAGUGUGGGGGCCAAAAACGUGCUGAUUGAGGUGGGCGAGCUGCUGUGUGACACAACACUCUGUUCCUGUGGUUCAAACAGGCUGCUGAGGUUUCAGAGCUACUCCAUUUGGAUAAACAUUACACGCAAUACCCUUUGAUUGAAAUUACCCUCGAUAAAAAAAUAGGUACACGCUGUUCUUUGGGUGACUAGAGUUAGAAAAAACAAUCUGGGACAAGUCAAAAUCAUAACAAAGUGGAAAUGAUUUAUGUAAGUAAAACAACCCCCCCCACACUUCUGAGUCACACAAUUUUAUCAGAGCUCUUUCCGAAAAAUGAAAUCCCUCUUCUUUGUUGUGCUGAUAAUAUCAUCAACUCACAACAUCACAUCCGACUCGUUAACGUCCCCGUUCACUGUGAACAGACUUUUGAUCGGUUCGAUUGAUUAGUACUUCUCUGCAGAAAAGCGUCAUCUGAGUGAGAACCAAACACUUGCAAUUCAACUCACACUACGGCAAUUAAUCUGCCCAACGGACAUCACGCACGAGUCAUCCACUGACUGAAGCUGAUCACGACGAGGGAAGAGAAGCGACAAAACAAAAAUCCUUGCUAAAGGAAAGGGAUUCGAUCCAAAAGGAAAAAGGAGCAGCAGGUGCGAAGCAGCUUAGGGUGCUCAAACUUCUCCUGGCCUCAGUACAGACGUUCCCCUGCUCUCCUGCGGUCAGAGAACCACUUGAGGCUAUUGAACAAAGCCGAGCUGGCAGCUCGCUUCCCCCGCCGACUGGCCGGCAACAAGAACCAUCGCUCAGUUGCACUCCGCCCUUUUCUUGCAAGCUGUCCCUCGGAGCCCCGAUGAAGUAACACGGACCAAAAAAAAAGAGCCUUUAUUGCCAAAUCAAAUGUUUUUAUAUCAUUUCAGCCGCUUAGUUUGUGAAUCGGACGUUGGGAGCAGCGGGUCUUACGUAAUCGUGAUUAAGGAAGUCAUAAACUUGAGAAGAAAAAGAGAAGAGCAAAAGCAAAACACGUUCUGUGAGAAAUUCUUUAAAUCAUAACAGCUUUUAUGAACACGUUAGAUUCAAUGUUUAUUUUUACUGAGGCCAUAAAUAAUCAAGGUGCAUGUGUUGAAUAUGAUAUAGCAAAUAUUUAGAAAAGAGAUUUAAAUCCACAAGGCGUAAUACAAAUCACUUUUAGGAAUCUGGCAACACGUGUCCUCUUCAGCAUAUGGACGUUGGACACCGAAGAAAUCAACUGAGAAUGUUUUCUACUUUAUAUUUGUCACGUGUUUUUUUUUUGCAUUUACAGCGUGAAUGAAGUUGCGUCUAUUAAAUGUGAGUCAAAGGGUUUGAGGCUGCACGGAUACGUCUUUACCCACUAUCCACGGCCUCUGGAUGAACCCUUCCAGAAACUGGUGAAAGGACACAAAAGCAAGUUGGCCCUCAAUUAGAAUAAAGCUGCAUGACAAUGCAGAAUUAAUCAAAACCUGGGCACAAAGCCAUGGGCGGACUCAAUAAAAAUGACUGCAACUUUAUAUGUAAAUAAGGAAACAUAAAAGAGCUGGGAUCCAAAAUGGAUCGAUGUCUCAACAAUAAUAAGACUAACGUGAGCACAAAGAGUCCCUGGAGCCAGAGGCGAGUCUGGAUGAGUCAUCUGACCCGGGAUUGAGCCUCACCCGCUGCAGCGCCCGCCAACGUGUGACUCGCACGCAGCCCGCUCCCUCUCCGAAAGAGAUCCCCGAGCGUCUGGAGCGCCGACCCGCAUCAGGGAGAGCAACCAUUAAAAGAAGAAAAAGCCUGAGGAAGGCCAAUAAACUGCCACAGCAAACAGCUGUGAGCUAUUCGACUAGAAACAACACGGCACUUUUAAUACAGCCGUCUCCUUCAACACAUCACAAGUCCUGCCAAACCCGAGAGCCUCAACCGUCCACACAACGGCGAUGGAUGUCUUCUGGUUUGUGAUGUUGGUGAGGAUGGUCGGAUUGUUUUCCUUCUGCUACUUGAGGUUUUAAACAACUCACAAAAGGAUUUAGGAUGUGUUCAGAUCAAACUCAAAUGCAGAGUCUUUCUUGUGCUGUACAAAUAAAUAAGAUGGCAACGGGCAGUGAAAGCGAUUUAAUGUCGGCUGUUUCAUUGACGUCUAUUCUAAGAAGAAAGAGAGGAAAUGAUGCUAUUAGGCAUAUUUCAUAAGCGAGGGUUGAAGAGACAGAAUUGCUAGUUGCCUUCCUGUGGGCGACUGUGGGUGAGUGGGGAGCACGGUUGUCCUCCAAUCAGAGGGUUGUCGGUUCGAUCCCAGGUUCUGCUAACCCGCAUGGGCAAGACACUUAACCCAAUGUUGCUCCUGUGGCUGCAACUACAAUGUGUGAAUGUUAGUUACUGAUGAUGGUUCUCCUCUCAUCUGGGUGUGAAUGGGUGUGAAUGGGUGAAUGAUGUCAUUUAGUGUUAAAGCGCUUUAAGUGGUCAGAAGACUAGAAAACCGCUAUACAAGUAGGGUCCAUUUACCAUUACUUACUGAGCGGCAGAUGGAGGGAUUUUAAUUCCAGUCGAAGUGCUGAACUGAAAAAAAAAAUGGAUGCAUAAUAUAUGAAUAGAGGUUAGUUAAAGUUAAAAGUGCAAGACGGUACAUGAAUCCACAAUUCCUGCCACUGCUACAAAUGGGCACGUCAAUACCUUUUGCAAUUGUAAAAUACAACUUCCACGCAGAUAUUAAAAGAGAUUAUUUAAAUAUAUACACAACAUUUUUGUAAAUUGGGUCCAAUUUCCUGAUGUCGUUUUUACACAUGCUAUUAAGUAUAACGCUUGCUGUCAUGUUAGUUUUCAAUCACUAGGCAUUAUGUAGGGAUCUGAAUACAUGCUUUUUUAUCUUUUCUUUUUGGUGUUGUUUCUUGUUAAACAUCAUCCGUUUCUAUGGGAGUUAUCAAAAUACAGACUGAUUGGUCCACCCACCGUUCCAGUGGUGCAGAGCAGCUCAAGGGUUUCAAUCGGCUCUUCUAACAUUGACGUGUCAGACUUGAUCUGUUUGUCUUGGCUUUUGCUGAUCAUCCAGUGCUACACAUUUUAACAAAACAAACUGGGGACACUUGUGUGGAGCAGAACUUCCACCGUGGCCUUCAAAUAACAGCAGAGAGAGAGAGAA
ensembl:lncRNA